UACGUAGGGGGCUAGCGUUGUCCGGAAUCAUUGGGCGUAAAGAGCGUGUAGGCGGCCCGGUAAGUCCGCUGUGAAAGUCGGGGGCUCAACCCUCGAAUGCCGGUGGAUACUGUCGGGCUAGAGUGCGGAAGAGGCGAGUGGAAUUCCUGGUGUAGCGGUGAAAUGCGCAGAUAUCAGGAGGAACACCUAUUGCGAAGGCAGCUCGCUGGGACGUAACUGACGCUGAGACGCGAAAGCGUGGGGAGCAAACAGG
rnacentral:rRNA from 1 species